AUGGUAAUCUCAGUAAAUGUUCUACAGAUUUCCCCUUGAAUUGACUGCUGACUCUGAAUUACUCAGUAUAUCAGGACCUGGAUAUUCGCAUUGUGUGUGUGAUGAGGGUGUCACUGACUGGGCCCAAAGGGCAGUAAAGAGUCAACCACAUUGCUGUGGGUCUGGAGUCACAUGUAGGCCAGACCAGAUCCCAGUGAUUAAUGCCAAAGCCCUGUUGCCUGGGGAGAGGGUGAUGUUUGACUUUCUCGUACAGCUGCAGUUUGUGUGGUGAA